ACGAGUUUGAUCAUGGCUCAGAGUGAACGCUGGCGGCGUGCUUAACACAUGCAAGUCGAACGAGAACGGGUUAUAGCUUGCUAUAAUUGUCAGCUAAGUGGCGCACGGGUGAGUAAUGUAUAGGUAAUAUGCCUCUUACUAAGGGAUAACAAAUGGAAACGUUUGCUAAUACCUUAUACUCCUUAUUAACAGAAGUUAAUAAGGGAAAGAUUUAUUGGUAAGAGAUUAGCCUGUAUUGUAUCAGUUAGUUGGUGGGGUAAUGGCUUACCAAGACUAUGACACAUAACUGGUUUGAGAGGAUGAUCAGUCACACUGGAACUGAGACACGGUCCAGACUCCUACGGGAGGCAGCAGUGGGGAAUAUUGCACAAUGGACGAAAGUCUGAUGCAGCAACGCCGCGUGGAGGAUGACACAUUUCGGUGCGUAAACUCCUUUAUAUGAGAAGAUAAUGACGGUAUUAUAUGAAUAAGCACCGGCUAACUCCGUG
rnacentral:rRNA from 1 species